CACCUGCAGGAAACAAAACUCAGAGCACAUGCAACAAACAUUAAGGAUCAUAAAUCAGCUGAUGGAUUCAGAGUGACGUGGACUUCAAUCAUCUGAUCGGCCAGAAGCACGUUUUUUAAAAAGAGGAAGAAGAUCAUGAACUAUGAAAGAGGGCCAGAGAAGAUGAGCUGGAAACAGAAACUGAGACACGCAGACAUGAUGAUCC